AGGUCUUCUCCACAAAAUGAUUUCGCUCCCUUGUAUCGAAGAGUUCAAGAACGCUGACUGUAGUGAUCCCUCCUUCCACAAACAGAAACAGACCAGGCAGAGUAUGCGCGCCGCCACAGGUAUUCACAUUCAUUGUGCAAUGAAGAUGAUGGUGCUAUCCAUACUACGUACAUUGUGCGUUGCUGUUCCAUGCCUGUGCAUCUUCAGCGUAAUUAAACCACCUCAACAGUAAUCCUCCCUGCCUGUCAUCUGUGCUCUUACCAGCACACGGGAGUGAACACGUAAAGUAAAAUCUAUCCGAAGGAAUAUACAGUCCACCAAGUCCUCAUUUAGAUAGGGGUCCGUUCGAGCCGGAUAAAGGUGUUUACUCCCGGUUCUAAAUGCAGCAUGUUACCGGUGAAGCCUGGACCUGGUCUGAUCAUCAAAGGUACCAAGCCUCACCUUAUCCAAGGUAUACUAGCACAGCACAGUAUUUCCAUUGGCAAGAAGAGGACCUUCAGCCUCACAUGGAGGAAGCUGCCAAGAUGACACCCCUCACUCCACACAGUCCCUUCCUAUCCAGCCAGGCCAGAUGUGACACAACUCCAGAUGAGUGGGAGACAUUCAGAGAGUACAGGUCUGUCCUAAACCCUCAUCUGACCCACGAGAGCAGAAGGAUGAGCCACAGUAAGCAGAUUAAGGAGAAACAGAGGUCUGUCCAUGGUCUACAACAGUCACUGGGAACACAGGAAGGCACCUACAGAGCACAAGCUAGUGAGAGAGUACAUCGAGCAAGAGAGAGCCCAGCUGCGGCAGUCCCAGCGGGCCAUACAAGUCUGGCUCACUCAGCUACGUGAGCAACAAGAAGAGAUGGUACAGCUCUGUGCUGCCACAGCUCACAUCCCAGUCUAUAGCUAGUCUCUCUCCCACUAAGCCAGCCCCUACAGAGCCCUUACCCAGAGGUACCCUUCCAGCAGAUAGAUGUCUGCUGGGACCACAACGGUCCGCGUCAGAGCUGGUUGAGCAUACGAAACCAUCACCCAACAAAGAAGAUACAGCUUGCGAUGGACAGUAUGACAACAGUGAGUGGCCAAGACCAAGACCCUCCCGCCGGAGCUAUGAAUCAAAUCAAAUCAAAUGUUUGAGUUCCCUCAGUCCCGGCGCUCACUCCACAUGUCAGGAGGCUACUCCUUCACCAGUGUCAGCUCCUAAACACUCCCAGUGUGAAGUAUCAGCCCGCUUACGGUGCCAGGGUGUGUCUACCCGUCCCUGCCAUUGGUUCUUCAUUUGCCCUCAGCAUGGGUUUUCAGGUGUCCCUGGUGCCCUACUAGCUAAGCAGUCAGGUGUUCCCCCUAGUUUCCUGCCAGGUGACUGUUUGGACUGUUUCCUGCUGUUAGAAGAAUGCAGCGUUCCAUCAAUGAAAUUCACCCCUCUCCCAGGAGGACAUUCUCACCACAGUGUGCCCCUGAUGGACUAAGUGUUCCUGCCCGGCUGUUUCGGACAGCAGCUCCUCUAUUCUACUAGUACAGAGAACCCUUUACAUCGUUUAAGUACUGGACUAGAGUUUAUUUGUUAUUAGUGGUUAUACCUAGCCAGGCCAUCUGUUGAUGGGGCGGCUAGACAGCCCUAGACAUCUGGUCUCAUGCCUGUUAUUAAGUUUGAGUAAGAUAUGUAAGUAAGAGUUAAGUAAGUCAAGAUAGUCAAGUUAACUAUUGAGCCUUUCUUAGGAGUGAAUUAAUAUAGUGAAUUCAGGGGCGGCUGUACAAAAGGCUGUGAAGACUUUGUAGUUAAUCAUAUCAAUAAUGUUAGUUCAUCAUAUCAGAGCUGUAGCUCCGCCCAGUGGUGAAGUGGAGCAGAGCAUGCUGGGCGAUCUCCAGCUCAGAGAAGAUCAGCUCAUGAGAAGUAAAGUGAGAGAAAGUUCCAGCCAUCCUUGCAUCCAUUCCCACUAGUUAGAUUUCAUAGUGUUAGCCAAGGCCAGUGUGUGUCCUUGUUGAUAUGUUAGUAAAUAUUUAAUAUCUUUCAGGUAUUUAUGUCUGAAGAUGCACUUUGCAACGAUAAUGUCAUAUUUAUGGUUAUGCUAAUUAGUUGUGUAGCGACCCGCACAGACAGCUGUGUGUUAUGUGUUAGGCUAGUAGGUGGUUGUGUUGUACUGACCAGUACCCAGUGUUCGCGGGGUCCGACAUGUCAAUCAACCUGCUAUCUGCCAAUCACGGGAAUGCCUGGAAUGUUCUGAUGCCGGGCAUCCUGGCGGUUGGCGGAGUGGAGUGGAGGGGGUUUGGGCAGGGGGAUGGAGCAUUGGAAGUUAAGACCAGGUUUCGCCUUUGUUCUCUCUCUUACGUCUGGGCUUCACAAGAGAAGGUCACGAUUGGCUUGUGGGUUAUUUGUCAUUUUAUUUGGCGUGUGCUACGGCCCAAACAGUAGCCUGUGUAAAGUUGGUUUAAUAAACCGUCAAUUCGCAAACUCAA